GUUGGAAACCAUAUCUGAACAUGAAAUUCCUAAAAGCCUAUAGCUUGUAGAGUUCAAGGAAUCCGAAAGUAACGAUAAUGCAAGGGCUCUAACUUGACUCCACUGGUUUCGUGGUGUUAAUUUGAUUAAAGCUUGCAAAAUCUCAGGAUUAUUAACAAUUAUCUUCUUUCUCGGCGAAUCAACAAUGCUUCUCAACGUGGUCAAUUGGACUUCAUAGAACUCAUAGUGCAACAAUUUUGAUACAAGGAAACCAAUUGAAUGCGCAUCACAAUACACUGA